rnacentral:rRNA from 1 species
AUACGGGAGGCAGCAGUGGGGAAUAUUGGGCAAUGGGGGAAACCCUGACCCAGCAACGCCGCGUGAGUGAAGAAGGCCUUCGGGUUGUAAAGCUCUGUCGCAGGGGACGAAGAAAGUGACGGUACCCUGUGAGGAAGCCCCGGCUAACUACGUGCCAGCAGCCGCGGUAAUACGUAGGGGGCGAGCGUUGUCCGGAAUUACUGGGCGUAAAGGGUGCGUAGGUGGCUUGUUAAGUUGGAUGUGAAAUCCCCGGGCUCAACUUGGGUGGUGCAUUCAAAACUGGCGAGCUAGAGUGCAGGAGAGGGAAGCGGAAUUCCUAGUGUAGCGGUGAAAUGCGUAGAUAUUAGGAGGAACACCAGUGGCGAAGGCGGCUUUCUGGACUGUAACUGACACUGAGGCACGAAAGCGUGGGGAGCAAACAGGAUUAGAUACCCCGGUAGU